ACUCAAAUGAAUUGACGGGGGCCCGCACAAGAGGUGGAGUAUGUGGUUUAAUUCGAAGCGACGCGAAGAACCUUACCUGGGUUUGACAUCCCGCGAGAGCCGUAGAAAUGCGGUGAGGUAGCGAUACCCGCGGAGACAGGUGCUGCAUGGCUGUCGUCAGCUCGUGUCGUGAGAUGUUGGGUUAAGUCCCGCAACGAGCGCAACCCUUUCCCUUAUUUGGCAUCAUUAAGUUGGCAACUAUAGGGGUACUGCCGGUGACAAACCGGAGGAAGGCGGGGAUGACGUCAAGUCCUCAUGGCCCUUACAUCCAGGGCGACACACGUACUACAAUGGCCAAGACAAAGCGAAGCGAAGCCGAGAGGUGGAGCGAAACGCAAAAACAUGGUCUCAGUUCGGAUUGUGGUCUGCAACUCGACCACAUGAAGUUGGAAUCUCUAGUAAUCGCAGAUCAGCAGGCUGCGGUGAAUACGUUCACGGGCCUUGUACACACCGCCCGU
rnacentral:rRNA from 1 species